rnacentral:tRNA from 1 species
CCCGUCCUAGCUCAGACGGUAGAGCGCUUGGCCUUUUAAGCCAGUGGUCGUGGCUUCGAGCCCCACGCGUGGUG